rnacentral:rRNA from 1 species
GCUAGUAAUGGCAGGUCAGCAUACUGCCGUGAAUACGUUCCCGGGCCUUGUACACACCGCCCGUCACACCAUGAGAGUUGGGGAUACCCGAAGCCUGUGAGCUAACUUUUAGAGGCAGCAGUCGAAGGUAGAAUCAAUGAUUGGGUGAAGUCGUAACAAGGUAUC